rnacentral:rRNA from 1 species
AGAACGAACGCUGGCGGCGUGCUUAACACAUGCAAGUCGAGUGCGCGCCUGUAGCAAUACAGGUGGCGCACGGCGCACGGGUGCGUAACACGUGGGUAAUCUGCCCUUCGAUGGGGAAUAACUCGCCGAAAGGCGAGCUAAUUCCGCAUAACAUUCCAAGGACUUCGGUUUUUGGACUCAAAGGCGUAAGUCGUCGGAGGAGGAGCCCGCGCACGAUUAGCUAGUUGGUGAGGUAAUGGCUCACCAAGGCUAUGAUCGUUAGC